GGAGCUUGCUUAAGGCGCCUGCCACGGUCGGCUGCUCCCUCCUCUCUGGCCCCAGCAUUUCCCAAGAGCCCACAACACACACAGCAUCUCCUCAGCAACCUGGGGGCUGCUUCCCCUCCUGCCCAGACAGGAGGUGGUAUGGUGGGGUGGAGGCUGCCCUCCCACCCGGCAUGAACCGGCUCGAUGAGGCCACACACCCGGAGAGGAAGGAAGGGAGUUACCACGAUGCCACCUGCCUGUGUGGUGUCUUUGCCAUUCUGUCCAAAGGAGCGUAUUCAGGUGGCUGCUGGGACUGCUGACAACUAGAAAGUAAAAUCCAGCAAAGAUCAAUUAUAAAGAAAAGCGACAAGAACAUUUUCCCAAAGGAGGCACGGAGAGACACUUCCUCUCCACCCCAAACAACCUACACCAAAAGAAGGACCCUGGAACUAAGCAAAGGCCUGGAGGUGACAGUCAUGCUGAAGCCAGUUCCAGCAGGCAUGCACAUUUGCCAGUGUGGAUAUCUGCAUCCCACUUAGGAAAUCUGUCUCCCCACAAGCAGGCCGAGUAUCUUCCAGUAUCACUCGUCAGAAGGAGUGAAGGCUAUAGUUAGGCACCAGGUUGACUUCUCCAUGUUCAAUGAGAUAGAGGUUCCCUUCCAUGUUCUGUGACUCAUGCCACUGUGUCAAGCCCUGGGUUUUACCAGUCAGUGAAUGUUCCUCCACUUGCUCAGCUCCAAUGACCCAGCUCCAGUGGCCCAACUCCAGUAGCACAGCUCCAGCGACCCAGCUCCAGUGGCCCAGCUCCAGAGAAUGACCCAGCUCCAGUGACUUUGCUACAGUAACUGAACUCCAGUGGCUCAGUUCCAGUGACCCAGCUCCAGUGGAUCAGCUUCAGUGACCUAGCUCUAGUGGCCCAUCUCAAGUGAUCCAGCUCCAGUGAAUGACCCAUCUCCAGUGACCCAUCUCCAGUGACCCAUCUCCAGUGACCCAUCUCCAGUGACCCAUCUCCAGUGGUCCAGCUCCAGUGGUUCAGAUUCAGUGAUCCAGCUCUAGUGGUUCAGAUCCAGUGAUCCAGCUCCAGUGGCUCAGUUUUAGUGGCUUAGUUCCAGUGGCCCAUCUCCAGUGACCCAGCUCCAGUGUGCCUUUUGUUCUCUAGCAGGCCCUAACACAGUUCUGUUCUCAUGGUCCCUUGCUGUGGUGGAAAGAAUGACAUGUUGCUCAAAUGACUAUAGUGGUUCCAAGCACUGUGCUCCUUUCCAGGCCACUUCCAAGUGACACUCCUACCCCAUUAUGAUGUGAGGCUCCUGGCUGUACUACAGGAACAGGAUGUGACAUCAGAGGAAGCCCCCUAGGGCUCUGCAACCCUCAGCACAGUGAUUGGUUAUGGAUUGUACAAAGUGACCUUGGCCCAGCCAAUCAGGUUGAAGUUUGCUAUGUGUCCCCUGGCAAUCCCUGCAGAGUCUGGCCUGAGAUCUCCAUGCCCACAUGGGGCUUUGUGUGGUGUGAAAGCUUCAUCUUGAGCUCAGGUGCAAUGUGUGUCGAUACCUUCAUCUUUUCCUCAGCCAACUUCAAAGAAUAUAUGUCUUU